rnacentral:rRNA from 1 species
CCUACGGGAGGCAGCAGUGAGGAAUAUUGGUCAAUGGGCGGAAGCCUGAACCAGCCAAGUAGCGUGCAGGAUGACGGCCCUACGGGUUGUAAACUGCUUUUAUACGGGAAUAACGCGCCUUACGUGUAGGGCUUUGCAUGUACCGUCUGAAUAAGGACUGGCUAAUUCCGUGCCAGCAGCCGCGGUAAUACGGAAGGUCCGGGCGUUAUCCGGAUUUAUUGGGUUUAAAGGGAGCGUAGGCCGCAUGUCAAGCGUGCUGUGAAAUGGCCGGGCUCAACCCCGGCCUUGCAGGGCAAACUGGCGUGCGUGAGUCCGCGGAAAGCAGGCGGAAUUCGUGGUGUAGCGGUGAAAGGCUUAGAUAUGACGAAGAACCCCGAUUGCGAAGGCAGCUUGCUGCAGCUGAACUGACGCUGAUGCUCGAAAGCGCGGGUAUCGAACAGGAUUAGAUACCCGGGUAGUC